AAGACGCUCGAUGUUGAAGCCACCACCGGCAGAAGAACAGCACCCGAACUCAACUCGAGCAAGCUUGGUCUUGUGAGAUAAAUCCAUUCGUGGUUGCCACAGUCACCGUGAUUUUGAAGUAGAUGAUCAUGAGCUGGUCAUGGUCCAUCGUGUGUUCCUCUGCUUCUCCCCUCUUUUGAUGUUAAGCUCGGGGUCUUGGUGUCGAUGGAGCUUAAAGACGUCGUAACUGAUGGAGCAUGGGAGGCCGAGCUUUUUUGUUUUGUGGACAGCGUCUCACCAUAAGCUUCUCGCCGUAAAUGAGAUUAUGCUGAGAACUCAGGACUUGGCAGUAGAUGGCAGUGAAUCAUGAUCUCCGGUAGCAGUGAGAUCAAGGUCUCACUAGAAGAACUUUCUUCACAAACUCAUGAACAAAGUCUUUCUAGAGGAGAUAUCAAGGGAUGCUAAUCCAACCUUCUCUUCUACUGUUUUGUCUUCUAGAUGGAUCCUCUAUAGUCUUGUAAAGUCAUCGUUGAGAGACCUUACAUUGGAGUCGUGAGGAUAUGGACCAAAAACCACUUGACGAGAAUCCAUUUUGUGCCGACACGUUGGUUGCGCAG
rnacentral:lncRNA from 1 species